CUGGGAACUGCCUUUGUGACUGCAUAGCUAGAGUACGGUAGAGGGGGAUGGAAUUCCGCGUGUAGCAGUGAAAUGCGUAGAUAUGCGGAGGAACACCGAUGGCGAAGGCAAUCCCCUGGACCUGUACUGACGCUCAUGCACGAAAGCGUGGGGAGCAAACAGGAUUAGACACCCUGGUAGUCCACGCCCUAAACGAUGUCAACUGGUUGUUGGGAGGGUUUCUUCUCAGUAACGUAGCUAACGCGUGAAGUUGACCGCCUGGGGAGUACGGCCGCAAGGUUGAAACUCAAAGGAAUUGACGGGGACCCGCACAAGCGGUGGAUGAGGUGGUUUAAUUCGAUGCAGCGCGAAAAACCUUACCUACCCUUGACAUGCCAGGAAUCCCGCAGAGAUGUGGGAGUGCUCGAAAGAGAACCUGGACACAGGUGCUGCAUGGCCGUCGUCAGCUCGUGUCGUGAGAUGUUGGGUUAAGUCCCGCAACGAGCGCAACCCUUGUCAUUAGUUGCUACGAAAGGGCACUCUAAUGAGACUGCCGGUGACAAACCGGAGGAAGGUGGGGAUGACGUCAGGUCAUCAUGGCCCUUAUGGGUAGGGCUACACACGUCAUACAAUGGCCGGGACAGAGGGCUGCCAACCCGCGAGGGGGAGCUAAUCCCAGAAAUCCGGUCGUAGUCCGGAUCGUAGUCUGCAACUCGACUGCGUGAAGUCGGAAUCGCUAGUAAUCGCGGAUCAGCUUGCCGCGGUGAAUACGUUCCCGGGUCUUGUACACACCGCCCGUCACACCAUGGGAGCGGGUUCUGCCAGAAGUAGUUAGCCUAACCGCAAGGAGGGCGAUUACCACGGCAGGGUUCGUGACUGGGGUGAAGUCGUAACAAGGUAGCCGUAUCGGAAGGUGCGGCUGGAUCAUCUCCUU
rnacentral:rRNA from 1 species